rnacentral:tRNA from 1 species
GCUCUCGUAGCUCAGUGGAUAGAGCAACCGCCUUCUAAGCGGUCGGUCGUUGGUUCGAGUCCAACCGAGAGCG